rnacentral:rRNA from 1 species
ACAGGUUAAGCUGACGAGUGGCGAACGGGUGAGUAAUAUAUCGGAACGUGCCCAGUCGUGGGGGAUAACGCAGCGAAAGCUGUGCUAAUACCGCAUACGAUCUCUGGAUGAAAGCGGGGGACCUUCGGGCCUCGCGCGAUUGGAGCGGCCGAUAUCAGAUUAGCUAGUUGGCGGGGUAAAGGCCCACCAAGGCGACGAUCUGUAGCUGGUCUGAGAGGACGACCAGCCACACUGGAACUGAGACACGGUCCAGACUCCUACGGGAGGCAGCAGUGGGGAAUUUUGGACAAUGGGCGCAAGCCUGAUCCAGCAAUGCCGCGUGCAGGAUGAAGGCCUUCGGGUUGUAAACUGCUUUUGUACGGAACGAAAAGGUCUGCCCUAAUACGGUGGGCCCAUGACGGUACCGUAAGAAUAAGCACCGGCUAACUACGUGCCAGCAGCCGCGGUAACACGUAGGGUGCGAGCGUUAAUCGGAAUUACUGGGCGUAAAGCGUGCGCAGGCGGUUAUAUAAGACAGAUGUGAAAUCCCCGGGCUCAACCUGGGACCUGCAUUUGUGACUGUAUAGCUAGAGUACGGUAGAGGGGGAUGGAAUUCCGCGUG